rnacentral:misc_RNA from 1 species
GAUGAAGAACGUAGUGAAAUGCGAUACGUAAUGUGAAUUGCAGAAUUCAGUGAAUCAUCGAAUCUUUGAACGCAUAUUGCGCUCUCUGGUAUUCCGGAGAGCAUGCUUGUUUGAGUAUCAGUAAACACCUCAAGCCAAGAGAUAUUAUUAAUAUCUCGAGACUUGGAAUUGAGUGAUCCUAACAAAGUCGUCUUUUUUGACGAUUGAGGCAGGUCACUUGAAAUUCAGGUGCAGCUGAACUUUUCUUCUGAGCUAAAAGCAUUAUUUUAUUUAGUCUUUAUUGACUAUUACUUUUUGCUGCAGCUAACAUAAAGGAAGAAGAGCUUCUUGAAUGCUGACUGAUGCAGGAAUUUAUCAGUUUUGUAACAAAGACUGUUAGACUCGAUCUCAAAUCAAGUAAGACUACCCGCUGAACUUAAGCAUAUCAAUAAGCGGAGGA